CGCUUCGGUACCCUGGGAGUACCUGUAACGUUUGUACUCGUGGAUCGACCGAAUAAGAGUUCUCCGCGUCUCUGCGAUGAUCAAUAAUUAAUGAAACUACGGAAAUAUCACGGUGACAUCGGAUGUCGAGAGACGAUCCGCUCUAUUUAUAGGUGUUCGCCGGACGAGAAGAAUCCGAAGAGAGAGGGUGAGGGCGAAGAAUUUUCACCUGUACACUCGGUGACGUGAUCGAAUCGAAGGUGUGAAUGAGAGAUAGCGAAACAUGAACGGCAUAUAAUCGCAUCUCUUGUUACGUCAACGAGAUUGGAAUUGGGUUAGUCCAGGCCGUGAAUUCCCGGGCUGCGGGUCGAAAGGGG
rnacentral:misc_RNA from 1 species